rnacentral:rRNA from 1 species
UAUGUGAUCGUCUCUCGCAUAUCAAUAAGCGGAGGAAAAGAAACUAGCAAGGAUUCCCCUAGUAACGGCGAGUGAAGCGGGAAGAGCUCAAAUUUGAAAUCUUAAAGGGUUUCCCUUUACGAAUUGUAGUUUAAAGAAGUGUUUUCUGUUGAGGUUUUGGUAAAAGUUCUUUGGAAUAGGACAUCAUAGAGGGUGAGAAUCCCGUAUUUGACCUUUACUUUCAACUUUGUGAUACACUUUCAAAGAGUCGGAUUGUUUGGGAAUGCAGUCCAAAAUGGGUGGUAAAUUUCAUCUAAAGCUAAAUAUUGGCGAGAGACCGAUAGCGAACAAGUACCGUGAGGGAAAGAUGAAAAGAACUUUGAAAAGAGAGUUAAACAGUACGUGAAAUUGUCAAAAGGGAAGCGUUUGACACCAGUGUUGUUUUUCUGAAAAUCAAUUAAAGAACUGUUUAUGCUAAGUUGUUUAGACUUUAUCAGCUAACUGUUUAGUUUUGAGCUUUUCUUUAAUGCACUUCUCAGUUAACAAGUCAACAUCAAUUUCUUUUGCUGUGAAAAAAGCUCGAGGAAGGUGGCUUGAGAUUCGUCUUAAGUGUUUAUAGCCUCUUGCCUAUGCAGUCGGAGAGAUUGAGGUCUGCAGCGUAGAUCCUUCGGGGCUAAAUGCAUUUGUGCUAAGUUAUAGCAUUUUAUAGACAACUUGUUGACUAUGAUUUGUCUUGUAGCUUACUCGCUUAUGUUAUUUUACCUACGCUUAGGAUGUUGAGUAGCGACAUACGCAC